ensembl:snoRNA Gm22910 predicted gene, 22910
CCUGUUCCUAGAAGCUUUGCAGGUGUGGCUGCUAUGUCACAUGUACAUCAGUAGGUGGCAGAGAGGAGAGAGGCUACAUCUAUGUUGAGUGUUCUGAUUUGUGAAUAGAUGAAUGUUUAGUAGCCUAAGAUU